rnacentral:misc_RNA from 1 species
UCGAGUUUACAUUGCGCCGCGCGCGAGCUCCCGUCGUUAUUAAACCUCUCUCUUUCCAACUCGUUCGAAACGGUGCUGCAGUAUCGAGCGCGUGCAAGCGAGACGGAACGUAUCUGCCAAGCCAAGCUUCGUCUCCGACAAAUCCUAAAGCGAACGAGCAGGCAGAGUUGCCAGGAGUUGCGGCAAAGCCAGAAGUAGACAGAGGGCCGACAAGCCCGGAUCCGCGCGUACAUUCAGCUAGCCAGAGCAGUUCUUGUUCGUCGUGGCAAUAGAAUCAAAGAUGGCGGCUGACUCGGGUAUGGAGACGUGUCCCUCGCCGGAAAUAGUUGACUCGAGGAAGCGGCCCCUCGACAGCGACGUCGAGAACGGCUCGACGAAGCGCUCCCACUAUGGCACAGGAUCGAAUGGAGAGGGUACCUACCACCUCAAGGUACUGGUGCCAGGAGUCGCAGCCGGUGCCAUUAUCGGAAAAGGCGGCGAGACCAUCGCCCAGCUGCAAAAGGACACCGGGGCAAGGCUCAAAAUGUCCAAGUCCCAUGAUUUUUAUCCAGGGACAGCCGAGCGCGUCUGUCUCAUAACUGGCAGUGUGGAGUCAAUAAUGGCGGUAAUGGACUUCAUCAUGGAGAAAAUCCAUGAAAAGCCGGACCUGAUGUCCAAGGCCGCGGCCGAAUUCGAGUCUACCAAAUCAGCCUCCGAGAGGGAAAAACAGGUUUCUCCGGUUUUGGUGUGUCAGGUGAAAAUCCUAGUGCCAAACAGCACGGCCGGCAUGAUAAUAGGCAAGGCCGGUAACUACAUCAAGCAAAUAAAAGAAGAGACAGGCUCGUACGUGCAGAUCUCGCAGAAGGCCAAGGACGUGUCGCUCCAGGAGCGCUGCAUCACCGUCAUCGGCGACAGGGAGAACAAUCGCAACGCCAUCAUGAUGAUCCUGGCUAAGGUGGCCGACGAUCCGCAGAGCGGCACUUGCUUGAACGUGAGCUACGCCGACAUCACCGGACCCGUGGCCAACUUUAACCCCACCGGCAGUCCUUACGCCAAUGCACCCGCAGCCACGCCUGCCUUCCAAAACACCGCUGGUCUCAACACAGUUCUUAUGCCCCAAGCAGUGGGCCUGCUCAAUGGUGCUGGUCUGAAUCUGAACCUGAACCUCGGCGCGGCACUGUCCGCCGCCAGUUCGAACCCUAGCUCCACGUCCCAGCUCCUCGAGCACAUUAAGUUGAGCUUGCGCACCACCGGCUACGGCGAGCCCGCUGCCUCUGAGAUCCUCACGGCAAUCGCCACCCUCGUCAAGUACAACGUCCUCGGCAUGGGCGUGGGCAUGCCCUCGGGCAUAUCCUACCUGGGCAACGCCAUGGACUCGCAGACAACGGCCGCCGCUGUGGCCAACGGAUCCAACAACAACGGUGGCGUGUACGGUGCCAUUGGCACGGUGCCAACCCUCGGCUCCACCUCGCCCACUCCGCGAGCAGCCCUCGAUCGGUUCGAGACCUUCGUCGAUCCGUUCCGGCAGAACAGCAACGCCGCAGCAGCAGCAGCAGCAGCCGCGGCCAUGAACAUGAACAACAAUUCGUUUGGCCUGGGCACAAAUCAAUUGUCACUCGUAAGUAAGAGCCCCGCCGGCCAGGUGGACGCGGCCAACGCAGCCGCAGCCGCCGCCGGGAUCAAGGAGGGCAAGAAAGACGUUGAGAUUGCAGAGGUUAUAGUGGGAGCAAUAUUGGGACCCGGCGGUCGGAAUCUCAUUGAGAUACAGCACCUCAGCGGCGCGAACAUACAGAUAUCGAAGAAGGGCAUCUUCUCCCCCGGUACCAGAAAUCGCAUUGUCACGAUCACGGGCUUCCCCGAUGCGAUCAGAACGGCUCACUACCUGAUUGAGCACAGGAUCAGCGAGGAGGAGGCUAAGCGAGCGCGCCACAAUACCAUUACCGGCAUGAUUCAUUGAUCGGCAUCAUCCCUCGUUGAGCCGACUAACAACCAAGUCGCUGCCGCCACAGCCGCCGCCGCCGUCUCCGCUGCUAUCCACGAUCGAUUCAAUUAAUGUAUGAUUAUCAAUAUGGAGUGCCGG